GAGACUCUCUGAGUGUACUGAGUCUCGGGGACAGUCUCCUGGUCCCAAGAACUGGGAGCGGAAGAAGAAGCCGGGUCUAAACGACUACCCGGCUCACCGAAGAUCUCUCUGUAAUGGGCAGUAAGUCUUCCUUUUCGAACCUGGGAAAAAAAUAAAAAAUUUAAAAUUAACAUCAACAAUAUAUUUCCCAACAUUAUCCACCUAAUC
rnacentral:lncRNA from 1 species